rnacentral:rRNA from 1 species
AGACCCGAAACCCGGUGAUCUAGCCAUGGGCAGGUUGAAGGUUGGGUAACACUAACUGGAGGACCGAACCGACUAAUGUUGAAAAAUUAGCGGAUGACCUGUGGCUGGGGGUGAAAGGCCAAUCAAACCGGGAGAUAGCUGGUUCUCCCCGAAAGCUAUUUAGGUAGCGCCUCGUGAAUUCAUCUCCGGGGGUAGAGCACUGUUUCGGCUAGGGGGCCAUCCCGGCUUACCAACCCGAUGCAAACUGCGAAUACCGGAGAAUGUUAUCACGGGAGACACACGGCGGGUGCUAACGUCCGUCGUGAAGAGGGAAACAACCCAGACCGCCAGCUAAGGUCCCAAAGUCAUGGUUAAGUGGGAAACGAUGUGGGAAGGCCCAGACAGCCAGGAUGUUGGCUUAGAAGCAGCCAUCAUUUAAAGAAAGCGUAAUAGCUCACUGGUCGAGUCGGCCUGCGCGGAAGAUGUAACGGGGCUAAACCAUGCACCGAAGCUGCGGCAGCGAACGUAUCACCCAAGACAACUUUACGGAGUUGACGAUUGACGGAGCGAAGCGACGUCAAAGCGUUCAUUAAAGUCGAGUUGGCUUAGGGAUACGUUCGUUGGGUAGGGGAGCGUUCUGUAAGCCUGUGAAGGUGUGUCGUGAGGCAUGCUGGAGGUAUCAGAAGUGCGAAUGCUGACAUAAGUAACGAUAAAGCGGGUGAAAAGCCCGCUCGCCGGAAGACCAAGGGUUCCUGUCCAACGUUAAUCGGGGCAGGGUGAGUCGACCCCUAAGGCGAGGCCGAAAGGCGUAGUCGAUGGGAAACGGGUUAAUAUUCCCGUACUUGGUGUUACUGCGAAGGGGGGACGGAGAAGGCUAUGUUGGCCGGGCGACGGUUGUCCCGGUUUAAGCGUGUAGGCUGGUUUUCCAGGCAAAUCCGGAAAAUCAAGGCUGAGGCGUGACGACGAGGCACUACGGUGCUGAAGCAACAAAUGCCCUGCUUCCAGGAAAAGCCUCUAAGCAUCAGGUAACAC